CCCGGGCCUUGUACACACCGCCCGUCACACCACGAAAGUCGGCAAUACCCGAAGCCGGUGGGCUAACCCUCUGGGAGGCAGCCGUCGAAGGUAGGGUCGAUGAUUGGGGUGAAGUCGUAACAAGGUACCC
rnacentral:rRNA from 1 species